rnacentral:rRNA from 1 species
GUCGAGAAUCUUCCGCAAUGCGCGAAAGCGUGACGGAGCGACACCGCGUGAUGGAUGAAGUCCUUCGGGGCGUAAACAUCUUUUAUAAAGGAGGAAAUUUUUGACGUUACUUUAUGAAUAAGGGGCUCCCAAUCUCGUGCCAGCAGGAGCGGUAAUACGAGAGCCUCAAGCGUUAUCCGGAAUCAUUGGGCGUAAAGGGUGCGUAGGUGGUUUGAUUAGUCUCCCGUUAAAACUUCGAGCUUAACUCGAAAAGAGCGGGGGAAACGGUCAAUCUAGAGUAUGUGAGAGGAGUGUGGAACUCAUGGUGUAGGGGUGAAAUCCGUUGAUAUCAUGGGGAACACCAAAAGCGAAGGCAGCACACUGGCACAUCACUGACACUGAGGCACGAAACCUAAGGUAGCGAAUGGGAUUAGAUACCCUUGUAGUCC